rnacentral:rRNA from 1 species
CUGUCCUACGGGACGCAGCAGUGGGGAAUAUUGGACAAUGGGGGGAACCCUGAUCCAGCGACGCCGCGUGAGUGAAGAAGUAUUUCGGUAUGUAAAGCUCUAUCAGCAGGGAAGAAAGAAAUGACGGUACCUGACUAAGAAGCCCCGGCUAACUACGUGCCAGCAGCCGCGGUAAUACGUAGGGGGCAAGCGUUAUCCGGAUUUACUGGGUGUAAAGGGAGCGUAGACGGCAAUGCAAGUCUGGAGUGAAAGGCGGGGGCCCAACCCCCGGACUGCUCUGGAAACUGUAUAGCUGGAGUGCAGGG